CACAUGAUGCAAACCAUUCGGACCAGGCAGGUUAAAGACACUGCCACCUGCUGGAGGCAGCUUUUCCUACAACAAUAGCAUUUUAUUACUUAUUUUAAUUUGUGUGCUUUUUGCUUUCUAGUAGCCAUUCAUGUUUGGGAUUAUUGGUACAUGAGAUGAAUGUGUAAUGAAAAAAGUAAUAAAAAAAAAGAAAAGGAAUUCAGGUCGAGUGUUGACUGUGGUCUAGGCCCCUGUGGCCCCCAGGGUUCGUUUCAGGUGCCAUCUGGUGUAAGAUUAAGACCUGCUAAGUCUAAUGUCUCCAGUCUUGAUUGAAUUCUGGAUUAUAUCUGGGGGAGAACAUGAAGUUAAGAACAAAGAUUAUGUUUUUUCUUUUCUUUCUGUAGUCAGGGCGUGGUUUAAAACUCAAAUCAUCAUUGUUACAUUUCUUGUUGUGUCUUUGCAAAAUAUCGGCUCAUGCCGCUCUGUUCACUGCAGAUCAUGAGCAUGUGCGUUACGCAACUACAUCUUAUGGAUGAACAGCGUUUGUAAAGCGGGCCUACAUCUAAUGCAACUUUAUCGCCUGUAACAAAGCGGCUGAAGAGGAUUACGCUGCUGCUGCUGCCACAGAAACUUAGUGACCAGUGGAAAAGAGAGAGUAGAGAGGGGUGGGGAGUUCAUGAAGAGAGUCGAAGCAGACAGAUUCAAUCAGACGUACACACAGCCCUUCGCCCACACAGCUGACGAAGGUUGGGGGAUUGUUUGGUUUUUUUAGGUGACACCGAUUUUUAAGAGUCCACUCAGUCUGCCACGAUGAUGCACCCUUUAAUCAUUGGCAUCAUGACCGUAAACACCUCUCUAACCGUUAUCUAUUGGGCUUUCCUCCUGGGAGACGUUUACUUCAAGUGGCUGGUGGAGCCAGAAGACAAACCCAAGAAGCUGGUUACCCCAGCCUGAGGGAGUCACUGGCGAUAUGGACCUACUCUACUGAGUGACUGGGUGUUGUUUUGCUUAUAGGACUAGUUCGGCUUGUAGUGCUUUCUGUGGAGCUUCAUUUUGUGAUCAAUCUGCCCAUGUUUCACCUGAAGAGGAUCUAGAGCCCCACUGUGAACGGAUCCUGAGAGUAAAUGAGAAAGGAAUCCUUCUCACAGAGCUGUCUGUGUGCAACACUAAUUUGGAAGUCUGAGGAGCUGUUUCAAUUCUCGAUCACAAGCUGGGAUCUUCAACAAAGACAAUGAAUCGGUCAUCACCCUGAGAAACUGCCCCAAAGUUUCAUUGUGUUCUCUGAACAGCCUGGCCUUUCAAUAGUGUCGACAUCAAUUCCACCCGAAGCACCCAAACCACAAACCAACAACCAGUCAUGUCCCUGAACGCGUCAAGAGAAGCUCUGCUUUUGAACCUCACACCGGCGGUGUUUGAGCACCGAUAGCUCCUCCAGCUGUCCCGGAGGAUGGAGGAGGAGGCCUACUUCGUGGACUACAUUCCUCCAGCUAGAGAUGCAAUAACUCUGCCGCGCAAUGCAGUCUAUGUCCUAGCCGGGGUGGUGUUGGUUAUAGUGGCCACUUAUGCCAUAGUGGGACACCUGAUUAAAGAUCUGAUGCAUGACCUGGCAGACUGGAUUCUUGGCCCAAAACCAGUGGAGGAUGAUUCAGAGGAGGGAAGAGCAGAGAUAGAAGAGGAGCGGCUGCUCAGUGUCUCCAGUAAGCUGAUGGGGAAAGACAGGGUGAGGAUGGAAAAGGAAAAGGACGGGCUGCUGCCGGGUUUCCACCAGGCGGAUGGAGACUGUCGCCAUCCGCCCGCCGCUCCUCCGCUGAGAAGCGCCGUAGCUUCAUCCUACCUGGGAGAAAAAAGGAUAUCUACUCAUAGCGUGACCUUCGCCUGCCCUGUGACCCCUUAUAUCACUUCCAUCUGAGUUUCUGCAAAUUCACCUUGUCGCAUAGGUUGCUCAGAUACAUUUAGUCAUUUCAGUGCGGUGAUCAAUGUUGGUUAUUUGCUGUAGUGAGGCCAAAGCAUUUUUGUUUUGUUUUUUAUAAAUCACUGCAAAUGCUAGUCAGCAGUUAUAGUCAGUGCUCAUGUAACAAGAAAAUGCUUUCUUUAAGUACUUAUUAAAAACACCAAUGUAAAAACAAGGUCCUCAUUGUCAAUCAUUUAGUUAUAUUGCACUAUUAUGACGAUCCAAAUUCGCAUGCAUCAAAAUGUGUUUUAUUUUGAAUUUGUAAAUCUGAAAAUUCCAUAAUGUAAGAAUGUUUUCAUUAAAAUGUAAAUUUCUUU